AGAAAUGAUGACUCAAACAAGGAAUUACCUAGUUAAACAAAAAUGUUUGAAGGUGCACCUACAAGGACCAAGGGGUGGGCAUACGAUGACACUGCGAUGAAAAUUGAACAAUUGAAGAACUUCAAAUCUCUAGGAGAUUGAAGUGCUUUGGUCGAUCAUUUUACGGACGUCUACCUUUGACUUUAUGGCGGACGUAUUCCUAAAAUAAUGAUGAAAAAUGGGAUGGUGGCGUAGAAUCAUACAUAAUUUCGAGUGCGUUUAUGGAAUCAUUCAACGCGAGUCUUCAAGUUGAAAGAACACAACAAUGCGAAAAGAAAUUGAAAGGGCCAUCACAUGAAAAAAAACCUAAGCUAGAAGCUAUGUAGAAAGAUUAUGACAACCAACAAGCAAACUUUGAAGUUACGAUGCGAUUAUUAUGGAAAAGCUACCUAAUGGAGUAUUAUAGGAUCUUAGAGAUGAUUAGGAGGUUUUCGUUACUUUUUAUCAUUGUACUUCACAACUUUAUUAUGAUUACAUUGUUCUUUUGAUUUUGGACA